GACGAACGCUGGCGGCGCGCCUAACACAUGCAAGUCGAACGAGUGAGAGAGAGCUUGCUUUCUCGAGCGAGUGGCGAACGGGUGAGUAACGCGUGAGGAACCUGCCUCAAAGAGGGGGACAACAGUUGGAAACGACUGCUAAUACCGCAUAAGCCCACGGCUCGGCAUCGAGCAGGGGGAAAAGGAGUAAUCCGCUUUGAGAUGGCCUCGCGUCCGAUUAGCUAGUUGGUGAGGUAAUGGCCCACCAAGGCAACGAUCGGUAGCCGGACUGAGAGGUUGAACGGCCACAUUGGGACUGAGACACGGCCCAGACUCCUACGGGAGGCAGCAGUGGGGAAUAUUGCACAAUGGGGGAAACCCUGAUGCAGCGACGCCGCGUGGAGGAAGAAGGUCUUCGGAUUGUAAACUCCUGUUGUUGGGGAAGAUAAUGACGGUACCCAACAAGGAAGUGACGGCUAACUACGUGCCAGCAGCCGCGGUGAAACGUAGGUCACAAGCGUUGUCCGGAAUUACUGGGUGUAAAGGGAGCGCAGGCGGGAAGACAAGUUGGAAGUGAAAUCUAUGGGCUCAACCCAUAAACUGCUUUCAAAACUGUUUUUCUUGAGUAGUGCAGAGGUAGGCGGAAUUCCCGGUGUAGCGGUGGAAUGCGUAGAUAUCGGGAGGAACACCAGUGGCGAAGGCGGCCUACUGGGCACCAACUGACGCUGAGGCUCGAAAGUGUGGGUAGCAAACAGGAUUAGAUA
rnacentral:rRNA from 1 species